UACAGAGGUCUCGAGCGUUAGGCGGAAUCACUGGGCUUAAAGCGUGUGUAGGCGGAUCGGUAAGUACCUUGUGAAAUCCCACAGCUUAACUGUGGAACUGCUCGGUAUACUGCCAGUCUUGAGCCAGCUAGGGGCUACCGGAACAAACGGUGGAGCGGUGAAAUGCGUAGAUAUCGUUUGGAACGCCCAAGGUGAAAACAGGUUACUGGGGAUGUACUGACGCUGAGACACGAAAGCCAGGGGAGCAAACGGG
rnacentral:rRNA from 1 species